UAGUGAGUAGCUAAGAGCAUCUGGUUCUGGAACCAGACUGCCUGGGUUCAAAUCCCAGCUUGGUUA
rfam:Myotis brandtii contig293200, whole genome shotgun sequence.